rnacentral:rRNA from 1 species
AGGACGAACGCUGGCGGCGUGCUUAACACAUGCAAGUCGAGCGGAAAGGCCCUUCGGGGUACUCGAGCGGCGAACGGGUGAGUAACACGUGAGCAACCUGCCCCUGGCUCUGGGAUAGCCUUCGGAAACGGGGAUUAAUACCGGAUAUUCACUGCUUCCUGCAUGGGGGGUGGUGGAAAGUUUUUCGGCUGGGGUGGGCUCGCGGCCUAUCAGCUUGUUGGGGGGGUGACGGCCCACCAAGGCGACGACGGGUAGCCGGCCUGAGAGGGCGACCGGCCACACUGGGACUGAGACACGGCCCAGACUCCUACGGGAGGCAGCAGUGGGGAAUAUUGGACAAUGGGCGCAAGCCUGAUCCAGCAAUGCCGCGUGGGUGAUGAAGGCCUUAGGGUUGUAAAGCCCUUUCGGCGGGACGAUGAUGACGGUACCGCAGAAGAAGCCCCGGCUAACUUCGUGCCAGCAGCCGC